AAGAAAGAAAUCAGAUUAGGUUUACAAUGUUUGCUGUGUCAAAUAGAGGAAUGAAGUGAGAAAAAGAAAUAAGUACUUUAUCAUUUUCUUGUUACAACCUGGUUUGGAAUCACCAAGUACUUCUACACUUAAUGUUUACAAUUACUUACCCCCAAACAAUAAAAACAGUAUCCCUUGUACUGAUUUUGCUUUUAGGUUUCUGCUUAAAUGGUUUAACGGUUUUACUAAUUUGAAUUGAUGUUUCCAUGUAUCAUGUUUGUGCAACAACUUCUAAGCUGUUCCCAAUUAUCCUUCCUUUGGAUAUGGGAAGUAUUGCCUGGUAAUGAAUUUGAAUGUGUUUCUGUGCUGCAAGGUCAUACACAAGAUGUUAAAAUGGUGCAAUGGCAUCCUUCUGUGGAUAUCUUGUUUUCAUGCAGUUAUGAUAACACCAUCAAGGUUUGGGCAGAGGAAGGUGAUAGUGAUGAUUGGCAUUGCAUUCAAACUUUAGCUGAAUCUAGCAGUGGUCAUACAUCAACAGUUUGGGCUCUCUCUUUUAAUUUCAGUGGAGAUAAAAUGGUUACCUGUAGUGAUGACCUUACCCUAAAGAUAUGGAGUGCUGACAUAGCAAGGUUGCAGUCUGGUGAUGUAAAUGCACCUUGGAGGCAUAUUAGCACUCUCUCUAGGUAGUGGGUACCAUGAUGGAAGAGUUUUUUCAGUACAUUGGUCAAGGCAUCAACUUUCCUUUUAUCUCUUAAAACGUAUGAUUUGUGUGGAGCAGCUGAUGAUGAUGCUAUACGCUUAUUUGUUGAGAAUGAAGACAAAUCGGUACUACUUUACUUAUCUAAGAAGUAAGAACCCUCACCAUCAUUGAUAUUUGAUUCAUUUACUAAUAUACUACACAGUUUUACCUCCUAUUUCAAAUGUUUUAGAGCUAACAAAGUUCACUUGAUCCAAAUCAAAUAAAAGAAUUAACUAGGGAAAGCUAUAGACAAUAUAGUACACUAAAUUAAUAGAGGCCUAUUUGACCUCUGAUAAAACAUUGAAGGUUGUAAUCCCAUGCAGUACGGGGAUAUUCUAUAGUUUGUAUUUGCAUUUUGAAAUCUACAUGUAUUAUCAUAA